UUAUCCGGAUUUAUUGGGUUUAAAGGGAGCGUAGGCGGGUGCUUAAGUCAGUUGUGAAAGUUUGCGGCUCAACCGUAAAAUUGCAGUUGAUACUGGGUACCCUGAGUGCAGCAUAGGUAGGCGGAAUUCGUGGUGUAGCGGUGAAAUGCUUAGAUAUCACGAAGAACUCCGAUUGCGAAGGCAGCUUACUGGACUGUAACUGACGCUGAUGCUCGAAAGUGUGGGUAUCAAACAGGAUUAGAUACCCUGGUAGUCCACACAGUAAACGAUGAAUACUCGCUGUUGGCGAUACACAGUCAGCGGCCAAGCGAAAGCAUUAAGUAUUCCACCUGGGGAGUACGCCGGCAACGGUGAAACUCAAAGGAAUUGACGGGGGCCCGCACAAGCGGAGGAACAUGUGGUUUAAUUCGAUGAUACGCGAGGAACCUUACCCGGGCUUAAAUUGCCGCGGAAUGUAGUGGAAACAUUACAGCCUUCGGCCGCUGUGAAGUUCUGCAUGGUUGUC
rnacentral:rRNA from 1 species